rnacentral:rRNA from 1 species
UAGGGAAUCUUCCACAAUGGACGCAAGUCUGAUGGAGCAACGCCGCGUGAGUGAAGAAGGUUUUCGGAUCGUAAAGCUCUGUUGUAAGAGAAGAACGUGUGUGAGAGUAACUGUUCAUACGUUGACGGUAUUUAACCAGAAAGUCACGGCUAACUACGUGCCAG